rnacentral:rRNA from 1 species
AGAUUGAACGCUGGCGGCAGGCCUAACACAUGCAAGUCGAGCGGCAGCACGGGUACUUGUACCUGGUGGCGAGCGGCGGACGGGUGAGUAAUGCCUAGGAAUCUGCCUGGUAGUGGGGGAUAACGCUCGGAAACGGACGCUAAUACCGCAUACGUCCUACGGGAGAAAGUGGGGGAUCUUCGGACCUCACGCUAUCAGAUGAGCCUAGGUCGGAUUAGCUAGUUGGUAGGGUAAAGGCCUACCAAGGCUACGAUCCGUAACUGGUCUGAGAGGAUGAUCAGUCACACUGGAACUGAGACACGGUCCAGACUCCUACGGAGGCAGCAGUGGGGAAUAUUGGACAAUGGGCGAAAGCCUGAUCCAGCCAUGCCGCGUGUGUGAAGAAAGGUCUUCGGAUUGUAAAAGCACUUUAAAGUUGGAGGAAGGCGAUUAACCUAAUACGUUAGUGUUUUGACGUUACCGACAGAAUGAGCACCGGCUAAACUCUGUGCCAGCAAGCCGA